rnacentral:rRNA from 1 species
GACGAACGCUGGCGGCGUGCUUAACACAUGCAAGUCGAACGAAGAGCGAUGGAAGCUUGCUUCUAUCAAUCUUAGUGGCGAACGGGUGAGUAACGCGUAAUCAACCUGCCCUUCAGAGGGGGACAACAGUUGGAAACGACUGCUAAUACCGCAUACGAUCUAAUCUCGGCAUCGAGGAUAGAUGAAAGGUGGCCUCUACAUGUAAGCUAUCACUGAAGGAGGGGAUUGCGUCUGAUUAGCUAGUUGGAGGGGUAACGGCCCACCAAGGCGAUGAUCAGUAGCCGGUCUGAGAGGAUGAACGGCCACAUUGGGACUGAGACACGGCCCAGACUCCUACGGGAGGCAGCAGCGGGGAAUCUUCCGCAAUGGACGAAAGUCUGACGGAGCAACGCCGCGUGAGUGAUGACGGCCUUCGGGUUGUAAAGCUCUGUUAAUCGGGACGAAAGGCCUUCUUGCGAAUAGUGAGAAGGAUUGACGGUACCGGAAUAGAAAGCCACGGCUAACUACGU